UCCCUAACCAAACGCUCCUCUCAUCUCUUUCUCUUCCACCUCGCCGCCACCCCUUCCACCCCGUCACGUCCGUCACCUCACCACCACCACGUCCAUCAGACCACGGAACCAAACACCCCACUCUCUCUUUAACCCAAAACAUCGAAAUCUGUUGGUUCGAAACCAUAGCCGCCUCCACUGCUACCACGUCUCUUUUCCCUUUGAUUGACGUGGUAGCAGAGCCGAAAGGAGUCAGUAGGGGAUCAUAUCAACCUCUGUGGAAGAGGAGUGCGAUGAACCGUCGGUUUUGAGGUCGACUCUUAUUCGACCCAGUGGGUAAAGGCUCGUCAACUGUCAUACCCGCGAGAUUCGGAGUCCCAACGAAUCCACAGCCAUCAAAUCUUAUCUGGAAAGUUUUUGGUAUCGAAAUCUCCUUUCAAGUACUCGGCUGAGCAAGGACUGUUUGGAGCGGAUUCGGAGACCCGACGACGACAUUAGCCUCAAUUCGCUGUCACGGAGAAGGUAACCACACUCGUCCCCUCUUCGUCUUUCAUUUUAUAAGAAGUAGAAACGUAGUCGUUCAAGUAUUUUCUCAUCGUUUACUUGGUUUGGUUGGCUGGAAUGUGUUCUCUCUUCGUUUGUUGUAAAUUAGUGUAAGGCGAUUAAUUUCGUCGAAUAUGUGUUUAACUCCCGUCGCCCCGUCGCUGCCGUCAAACGAUAAUACUUGAACCCCUUUUUAUUCCUAUCAUUCAUUUUCGCAUUAGCAUAUAAGUGUUUAUUUUGGUUUGUUUUGAGAUGAUUUAUUUUAAAAUAUGUAGCCUAAUGUUGGCAGAAAAAAUGGUGCUGUUUUAAGCUUUAAAGGCUGUUGGCAAUCGUUUAAGUACUGUUGGUUUAACCGUUAAUAUGAUUUGUGCUUUGCUUCUCUCAUUAUGAUUAGUUUAGUUUAGUACCAAUGUAAGAACUGAUUCACAAGUCAUUUGGGGAAUGAAUUAGCAUGACAGUUGUUUGGUAGCUGUUAACAUACAUGUGGUUUCAAUUAAUCAUCAUGGUUGGUUUAAAUAAGUGUUCAAUGAGUUAGGGAUGAUCACUGUUCUCUUAAAUAAGUCUGUUAAGAGUUUCUGGGAUCUAGCCUAAGUAUAAUUCACAAUUGGCUAAAGAGUGGGUUUUAGGGAUGAUCACUGUUCUCUUAAAUGUGAGGCUGUUUCCCAAUUUGAAGUGUAUCAAAGUAAUAUGAUCUUUGAAUACUUAAAUAGGCAUUAAAUAUGCAAAAAUGUGCUUUUUCUUAACCAUUGUUAUGAGUUAUUAAAUUGGUUAGCUCUGUGCCAAGGUAACUAUGUGCGGUUUUAAGCUUUAGUAAUUCCCAAAAUCCCUCUUUUAUUCCUUUUUUUUAUAUUCUACCAUAGUUUGCCAUUAUGUUCUACAGAUGCUUUGUUUAAUGUGUUUUAGAUUAAAUUAGAUGUCAUUGUUUUAAAAAUAGCAUUAACAUAGUUUGGAGGCUGUACCCGUGGUGCACUUGCGGGAAACUCCUUGCCGAGGGCCUGUGCACCCCCGGGAUUAGUCGGGGCUCAAAGAGACCCGGACACCCGGUGCUUAAUAAAAAAAAAAACAUAGUUUGGAGGCUGCUUUAGUUUUUUAAAAACUUUGAUGUAGCAAUAUCUAAAAAUUAAUAUGAAUACUGUUUCAGAGGUUGAUACACAACAGUGACAGUUUUUAUUGGUUUAUGAUAAGUGUAAAAGAAAAGUAAGCUUGAGUUUCUAUGUCUGUUACAAUUAAAAUCCUUAGAGAUGAUUGAUAGGAGGUGAUCUUAAUAUGGUUCAAGAUAACUCCCUUUGGGUGGUUUGGUUCGUGUAACAGUUAAUGCGCUUCCUUGCUUGUUUUCAUCAGACUUUUACAUUAUGUAACUCUCCAAUGUUCUUAAGCUUUUGUUGUGUGUUGGCAUGUCUUAGUUUAUGUUUGUAUGAUUGGCUGAGUUCAAUUUUGAUCUAGUUCUCUUUAAGUGAUUGCUCAUGCCUUAGCCUUGUAAGCUUAAUACAAUUAUUGGCCAAUGGAUUUAAGCUCUGCCAGAUUAGUUAAUGAUCAUGCUUGUUUCCAUUGUUAGUUUGUAAGUAAAUCAGCUGUGAAAUUGGCCUUCCCUCUCAUUAAUAGCUUGAAGUUACUACUGGUGAUCAGUAGUCACCCCUUGUCUAGUUCUUGUGGUUGUUGUUUGGUCAGUUAGUUUUGUUUACUGUUACUUCCUAUAUACAUACAAUUAGCCCAUAAUAUUCAAUGUUAGUUUGUUGGUUAGCUGUUAGUAUAGACAAGAAAAGGGGCAAAAUGUGAUUGACAACACCCCAUCUCUAUCUCUAUUCCUAGGUAACAGUAAUGUUGAUUUCUGAAGUGUCUGUUGACUCAUAUAAUUUCCAAAACACCAAGUUGAUUCUCUCCUUUUGACCAAAUAAAGGUUUACUCUUGUUGAAGCAUUUGCUGUUACAAAUCAGUCUGGUUCAGUUCAACAGUGCCUUUUGUUUUAAUUUUCUUCACUAUCCUGUUCAUAAAGCAUGUUGAUGAAGUCGGGGCUCAAAGAGACUCGGACACCCGGGGCUAAUCAAAAAAAAAAAAAAGCAUGUUGAUGAAGUUGGUAGUCUGCUUCUCCUCUUACUUUGCCUUUAGUUUCACUUUUAGUAUUUAGUGCAAAUAUCCUCCCUGUGUGAUAGAGCAUUCUCAGAUUAAGCAUAAAUAUCUGAAGUAUUAGAAGAGGAAGAUUUUAUUCAUUUUGGAUUCUCAAACUCUGUUGAUCAUUAGUAAACUGGAGAAUCUUUAAUCACUCUAAGUGUUUUCCUAAUCUACAACAGUCCCCUAACUGAUUGAGUAUAAGGCCUUUGAUUCACUGUUUCUUUUCCUUGAGCCAAAAACUGCCUUGCUAGAUAAAACAUUUGGCCUUGAAAAGACGAGUGGGAGACCUUUCAACUAGUUUAGUUUAAAUAAGGGCUUGAUUCCUGUGACUAUCUGCUAAUGAGUUAAGCUAGCUCUUUGUAUACUUGCUGUUUCUCUUUUCUGGUUGUUAAGUUUGCUUACUUUGUCAUGCCUUUUGUUCAUCGGUUUUUUCCCUGAAUUGUUGUUAAGCUGGCUGUAAGGUAAAGGGCAAGCUUUUGGGUGUGGUUUAGCCUCCUCCGAUAGCAUGCCAUGCCUAAGGUUCUAGAAACCUUUUGACCUUGUGCGGCAUUAGAAAUAUAGAUGGUGGUAGCCCCUUCUAUGUCCUGAAUCUUUUAAGCCUGGCACUUUAUGAUUAUAUAUAUAUGUGGUUUCCUCUUAAAUGAUCUUACCGUUCAUUAUAGAUGAACUGAAAACAACCUCCCAUAAGGAUUUGUCAUGCCUUCAAUUAACGUGUUUCCUUUCCAUGUUGUGUUUUCUUAAAUAAGCAUGAGCACUAUUUGACAGCCAAACAUAGUGAAGUGUUAAAGAGCAAGUUAUCUUGAAAUAUGCUUAGACAUUCUAAUUUACCUCUGUUUGAGUUGAAACAUAUUGAGGAUCUUGUAAAGUUGAAAACUGUUCCCAUAUCCCAACAUGCCUAAAAUGAUUAAAAUGCAAUAUGUGUUUGUUCUGUUUUCAUUUUUUGUUAAACAUUUGUUUCAAUAGUGGAUAUGACACUGCCAUACUUGGUAUUUGGUUUAAUCCUCUCUCUAUCUGUUGAUAUUAUAGCCUUCCUUCUGGAUUUCUCGGUCCAUAUGUGUGAGUCAUGUCUCCAGUUAUUUUAUUAAGCCUGCCUGAUCAAGUGAAUACAGUUGGUAGUUUGUUCUCUUAAAAGUGAACUACGAAGUAUAACUGUAAUAAAUAUAAAAGAAUUUGGUAGUUUUGAGCUUGUUCUCUUUACAUUUCUAUGUAAAAAUACUCAUCCUUUACCCCCCCCCCCCCCCCUCCUAAAUACCGAAAACAGAUCCUUUACCCCAUUCCUUGUCAUUGUUUAUGGAAUGUGAUGAGCUUUCGCAUAGUUUUAAAUUCAAGUACAUAAGUUAGGUAGUAGAAAUAAAAGUUCCCUCUUUUAUAUGAUCGAGAGCAUAAGCUUUUCUUUAGAGUUGAAUGGAGAUCCGUUUGAGUUUAGUUUUGACUCUACUUGCUCCCCACCUAGAAUUCAUUUAGCUCUUGUUGGUGAAUAAAAUCUGCUCCUACUUGAAGUUGGUAUGCUAAACCUAAGCCUAGUUAUGCCUUAAUAACCUUUGAAGAGGUCACUAGUAGUUUGAAGUAUAAUAUGGACUUGGUGUCAUGUAUAAACUGAUUUGUAGUUUGCAACUAAGUUCCAAGUCAAUAACAGUGUUAUAGACCUUAAAUGUUUCUCUGCUCUGCUGUGUUAGCCCGUAUUUGCUUGAGUAGUGAAAUAUGCAGCCACCUAUUGGAUCUAAAACUCCUGGAAGAAUGAGAUCAAAAGUACUUUUCUCUAUAUAACCAAGUACUAACUUUGGGGAUUGAGUUUCUGAUAAUUCAAAUUCUUAUGUGUUAAAGUUUUGGAUAACUAAGCAUUUGUCUGUACCUGCUUCAUCUGCUAUAGGGGCGCUCUUUGUUAAGGUACUGUUUUAAAACUAUUUAAUUAGCCCAGAGGAAAUCCUUGCUUUCCAGUUAUAAAACCUGAACCUUUCUUUAUCAUCAAAUUGAUCUUGAGGUUGUAUGUUCAAAUUCUCCCUUUAGAACUUUGAGUCAUAGUCUUGUCUAGUUCUGGUUUGUUCAAUGUGUGGUUAACUCAUGAUCAAAUUUCAUGAGAUUAGCAUGAAGUUUUUCAUUAGAUAUAGCUACAUGUAUCCUAGUAUACCUUGUUUGACUCAAGAAUAAAGAAAUCAGUUAUAAACUCGGCUAAAUACACGAGAAAGCCUUGUCUUACAUUUGAUUCUCGUCUUAAAGUUAUAUAGACUUCUUUUUCCUUGUUGAGAAUUGUUUCUAAUCCUUAUCUUUUAUCUUUUCUUUUCUUUUUCAUGAGGAAACCUUGGGAGCAUUUGGAGUUAUGACAACCCCGGAUUCUGCCCAUAUCAGAGAACAACCAGUUGCAAGAUUUAAUUGCUCGUGUCUAGCGUCCCCGUCUUCCUUCCUCUCUUUAAAUUUCGUGUCUUCGUGUCAUCAUGUAUGUACAUGUUUAUAUUCUUGACUAACAUUUUUUUUUGGAUUGUAUUUGUAGCAUAUUUAUUUCUUGUUUGUGUAUGAACCUGCGGAAAAAAAAAUGGUUAAGUAUAACAAUAAGUUUAGUUGCUUACCCCCCAUCCCCUUUGGUAUAAUUUUCGAUUUAAGUAUAUUCGGGAUAACGAUUAUGAACGUUCUUCAGUUCCUUUUAGUUAACU